GCCACGGUGGUCUAGAGGUUAGAACGCUGGCCUUGUAAUCCUGGGGUCUCGGGUUCGAUUCCCGGCAGUGCCC
rnacentral:tRNA from 1 species